ACCAUUUCGGGCAUCGGAGGAAACGACACAAAAUAUUGUGAAGUCAUGUGUUUUAUUGCACAACUUCCUGCUUAGUGCGCCGCAAUCACGAUCUGCAUACAGCCCACCGGGUUUCACUGAUCAUGAGGACUGGGAAGGCAACAUUGUAGAAGGAUCCUGGAGAGCUGGCAGUGACAGCCUGCUGGGCAUGGGGGACCUCAAUACUAUGUCUGGUUAUAAUUCAGCAAGGACAGCUAUGGAUAUGCGCAACCACUUGGCAAACUACUUUAUGAAUGAAGGACGGGUGCCAUGGCAGGAGAGGAUAGUGACCCGCGCGGAAAUACAGGAAAAAUGAACAGCAGAGCUACCGAGACUGUGGUGCCGAGGAAAGUCGCACUUGGAGAGGCUGCACUGGCGGCUGGGCUCUGUUUGUGCCACUGCUGGACCUUGGUGACGCAUGAAAAAAGAAUAUCAUCUGUUAAGAGAGAUACAAUGUAACAUUCCUUGAGACAAGCUCACCCGGAAGAUGCUGCAGCCUCAGUCGGGGUUGGACUGAGCAAG